CAAACGACUCUCGGCAACGGAUAUCUCGGCUCACGCAUCGAUGAAGAACGUAGCAAAAUGCGAUACUUGGUGUGAAUUGCAGAAUCCCGUGAACCAUCGAGUUUUUGAACGCAAGUUGCGCCCGAAGCCUUUCGGCUGAGGGCACGUCUGCCUGGGCGUCACGC
rnacentral:rRNA from 2 species